CUAAAUAGUCUUCCAAGGUGGGAAUCUUCCAAGUUCUCCAUAAACCAUAAAGUUCGGGGUGUUAUACCUAAGACCGGGGCGACCUCCUUCAUCUGCAGUAGGGGGUG